UAAUGCCUGAGGUAUCUGAUACCUUGACUGAUAACCUGUGUCUGGGCAUCUCGUUUAGAAGGCAUAAACUAAAAUAUAAACAGGUCUUGCGACACAGGUUGCCUCAUUUUCAUGAGCUUCCUGUUACUUUAACCCUGUUUACAUUG